GACGAACGUUGGCGGCGUGCUUAAUACAUGCAAGUCGACUGAAGCAGUGGUAGCAAUCUCGCUGUGGCGGUGGCGCACGGGUGAGUAACACGUAGGUAAUCUGCCUUCAGGUCUGGCAUAACUCCGGGAAACCGGGGCUAAUAGCAGAUGAUGCAGCGGCUCGACAUCGAGACAGUUGUUAAAGCUAUGGCGCCUGAAGAUGAGCCUGCGUCUGAUUAGCUAGUUGGCGGGGUAACGGCCCACCAAGGCAACGAUCAGUAGCUGGUCUGAGAGGAUGAUCAGCCACACUGGAGGUGAGACACGGUCCAGACUCCUACGGGGGGCAGCAGGAAGGAAUAUUGCGCAAUGGGAGAAAUCCUGAAGCAGCGACGCCGCGUGAGGGACGAAGGGCGUUAGCUUGUAAAUCGCUGUAGUGAGAGAAAAAAAUCGCGAUCUUUGGGACAUGAUGGUAACUCAAAAGUAAGCCCCGGCUAACUACGUG
rnacentral:rRNA from 1 species